rnacentral:miRNA from 1 species
UAUGUUUAGUUAUAGAACCACGU